ensembl:snRNA U6 U6 spliceosomal RNA
AUGCUCACUUUGGCAACACUUAUACUAAAACUGGAACAAUAUAGAGAAGAUUAGCAUGGCCCCUGUGCAAGGAAAAUAGGCAAAUUUGUGAAGCAUUCCAUAGUUUA